rnacentral:sRNA from 1 species
CUCCUGCAGGCUCGUGGCGGUCGGUCAGCGGGGCGUUCUCCCGCGUGUCGCGACUCAGAGCCUCCAAGCUCAUGGCCUCCUUAGGAGCGAACCCAAGGAGAACACCGCAGGGACUGGGACCUGGGGCGGCCUCCUCUGGCUUCCCCAGCCCGGCCCCAGUGCCUGGCCCCAGGGAGGCCGAGGAGGAGGAAGUCGAGGAGGAGGAGGAGCUGGCCGAGAUCCAUCUGUGUGUGCUGUGGAAUUCAGGAUACUUGGGCAUUGCCUACUAUGAUACUAGUGACUCCACUAUCCACUUCAUGCCAGAUGCCCCAGACCACGAGAGCCUCAAGCUUCUCCAGAGAGUUCUGGAUGAGAUCAAUCCCCAGUCUGUUGUUACGAGUGCCAAACAGGAUGAGAAUAUGACUCGAUUUCUGGGAAAGCUUGCCUCCCAGGAGCACAGAGAGCCUAAAAGACCUGAAAUCAUAUUUUUGCCAAGUGUGGAUUUUGGUCUGGAGAUAAGCAAACAACGCCUCCUUUCUGGAAACUACUCCUUCAUCCCAGACUCCAUGACUGCCACUGAGAAAAUCCUCUUCCUCUCUUCCAUUAUUCCCUUUGACUGCCUCCUCACAGUUCGAGCACUUGGAGGGCUGCUGAAGUUCCUGGGUCGAAGAAGAAUCGGGGUUGAACUGGAAGACUAUAAUGUCAGCGUCCCCAUCCUGGGCUUUAAGAAAUUUAUGUUGACUCAUCUGGUGAACAUAGAUCAAGACACUUACAGGCUGGGGUGCAAUGGUGCGAUCUCGGCUCAGUGCAACCUCUGCCUCCUGGGUUCACGCGAUUCUCCUGCCUCAGCCUCCUGAGCAGCUGGGAUUACAGGCACCUGCCACCACGCCCAGCUAAUUUUUGUAUUUUUAGUAGAGACGGGGUUUCACCAUGUUGGCCAGGCUGGUCUUGAACUCCUGACCUCA